CUUUCUGUAUUAGCCUGAAUUCUACGCAAUACUGGCUCAGGGCUCUUGCUAGGGCUGACAGUGAUUCAGCCUGACAUUACUGCUGGAGGAAGAGGGGAGUCCCGGAGCUGGCGCCCAGGGGGCCCAAGGACCCUGUCCCAGGGUACAAUAAUCCACUCAGGGACACUUCUCAAAUUCCUCCUUGCUGGACACUGCUGCCACCUGUAACCACACCGCGUGACUCAAGGCUAGACUUGUGAUUCAUUUAAACCUGACACUGCCAGAAGAAGAGGGCCUGCUGUUCCUCCACAGGAGCCCCCUGGGGUCCCAUGGCAACCUGAAGCCUUUCGACUGCCUGGUGGACGGCCGGAUGCAGGUGAAGCUAUUGGGAUUUGGGUUGUGGGAACUCCAGCAUGGCCGGACAUACAGAACAUACAAUGAGGAAACGACGGACCCAUCAGAGUUCUUACUGGACAGCCCCAAAACUACUGUGGCUCCCCCGGUCUGGCACCUCGAAGGGAGAUGUUUACAGCAUUGCCAUCCUAAUGAGAGAGCUGAUCCACCACCAGGACCCUGGACCUUUUGAUGAUCAAAACCUGACACCAGCAGUGCUGUGCUCAGCCAUGUCUGACUCUUUGCAACCCCAUGGACUAUACCCCGCCAUGCUCCUCUGUCCACGAGAUUCUCCAGGCAAAAAUACUGGAGUGAGUAGCCAUUUCCUUCUCCAGGAGACCUUCUUCCUGAUCCUGGGAUUGAACCUGUGUCUCUUGCAUCUCCUGCAUGGACAGGUGGAUUCUUCACCACUAGCACCACCUGAAGGGCCCUUAUCUUUUCCCCUUUUUGUUUACUGCCUUCCCCACCAUUUCUAGUCCAUCCCUGACGGCCC
rnacentral:lncRNA from 1 species